rnacentral:rRNA from 1 species
AUUGAACGCUGGCGGCAGGCUUAACACAUGCAAGUCGAGCGAGCGGCGGACGGGUGAGUAAUGUCUGGGAAACUGCCUGAUGGAGGGGGAUAACUACUGGAAACGGUAGCUAAUACCGCAUACCAUCAGAUGUGCCCAGAUGGGAUUAGCUAGUAGUUGGGGUAAUGGCUCACCUAGGCGACGAUCCCUAGCUGGUCUGAGAGGAUGACCAGCCACACUGUAACUUAGAAACGGUCCAGACUCCUACGGUAGGCAGCAGUGGGGAAGAGUGACCAAUGGGCGCAAGCCUGAUGCAGCCAUGCGGCGUGUGUGAAGAAGGCCGUCGGGUGGUAAAGCACUUUCAGCGAGGAGGCGUUACUCGCAGAAGAAGCACCGGCUAACUCCGUGCCAGCAGCCGCGGUAAUUC